CCGAGAUUGCGCCACUGCACUCCAGCCUGGAUGACAGAGUGAGACUCUGUCUCAAAAAAAUAAAAAAUAAAAAAAUAAUUAGCCAGGCAUGGUGAUGUGUGCCUAUAGUCCCAGCUACUCGGGAGGCUGAGGUGGGACAAUCACGUGAGCCCAGGAGUUUGAGCUGUGAUUGCGCCCCUGCAUUCCUGCCUGGGUGGCAGAGCAAGGCCCUGUCUCAAAGAAAGAAAUUGAAUUAAGAAGCAUAAAGAGGGAAGCCUGUUAGCUAUGGAGGAAUGAGCAGAAACUAUAGGGCAACAAGGAACUGGUGAGGAAGAGAGAGAAGAGAGUGGAUAUGCCAAGAGGAGCAAGGGCGUUGUGGAGCAAGGAAGAGAGAGAAGAGAGUGGAUAUGCCAAGAGGAGCAAGGGUGUUGUGGAGCAAGGAACUGAGAGCCCCAGUUUCACAUGUGUCCUAAAAAUCAUCUCCCUUGUUCAUUAAUUCAUUCAAUUGUUCAUUCAACCAUGGCUUAUUCUGUUAAGCACUGUUCUAGUCAGGCUCUGGGGACUUCAUAUUAAGCAAGUUCCUGCCCUAUUGGGAUUACAUUCUGGUGGGAAAAACGGACAAUCGUUGAGUAACAAUUAAAGACUCACACAGAGGCAUUCCUGAUUAUGAAUGAUAGAAUGAAGGAAAGAAACUCAGGUCUGAGAGAGAGAAGCAGUGGGGAACUGAGAGCAGACAAGGAGGGCUGUGAAGAUCAGAUCUUGGAGAGGGCCUUGGAGCUGAGAAUCAGAGGGUGGAGAGGAGGCAGCCAAGCAAAGGGAGUGGGAAAAGGACUUCACUCAGAGGACUCUGCCCUUGUUGGGAGGGGCUUGCUGGCUUCCAGGAAUGGGGUGAGGGUGGUGGGGCGGGGAACAGUGGAGCCAAAGGGAAGUGGGGUUGGAGAGGUGGGAGGAGCCAGAUGAGUCCUGCCUUUCUGUUAAUUUAGAUGAAGUUCUGUUCUGGAUGUGGAGGAACGGGGUGGGGGGGCAUCUCCCCAUUCUGGGAAGCUUCAGUUCUUGGCAGAAGUGAGAAAGCUACUCCUGACCGUGGGCAUCGGAUGGGUGGUGAUCAAACUAGGAUGCAUUCCCUCCCUGGCUUUUAGUGUCUGUUGGUUAGCCAGGGAACUUGAGUUAGGCACUGUAUUAAGCAUGUCUUUUUAUUCUGAUGUUUUGACAUCUGGGGUCUUACUGACUCCAGCUCCCAGGGCUAGCUGCCCUUCCCUGGGCUAGCUUACAAAGCACACCUUUCAAAUGCAAACCAACCAAUCCAGAUCCCACACCCGCAACCGCCCCCUUUAUCAGGCUCUCACACUCUGGGCCACCACUCCCCUGCCCUAAUCACCCCAGGGCCAGGUGCCAGACAACUCAGGGCGGAUCCAUAUCCCACAGCCUACUGACAAACCAGCCAACCCUAAACCUGCUUCCCCUGCCUUGCCCAUUCCUUACCAUAGAAAACCACAAUAAAGCCUCUAGCCCGUUUCCCCUCACUCCCUCUGCCUCCUGAACAACCCUGAUGCUUCCCUGUGUGGUCCCUUGUGGCAUAGAGUGCCCCCUCUUCUCAGGAACUAUGGUGAUGGCCAGGGUGCACAAGACCCCGGUGAAGGAUGGGAAAAAGAGCAAGAAGAUGAAGAAAGUCAUCAUCUGUGAGGCCCGCCAGGCUUUGCUCGGAGGCUGGAAAUUCAUCAUCAGGCUGAUCUGAAGAGAGAGAGGCAGCCACCUCCCAUCUGCAGCCGGAGCAGCGGCAGAGGGACCCCAGCCAGGCCUGGCUUCCUGACACCUUUGCAGAGCCCCCUUCCCCAGCUUUAAGCGCCACCAGGUCACAGGUGACUGAACAAAGCUGAUUGAUGGCAAUGUCGGACUGACUCACAUUUUUGGAGUAGAACAUGAUGAAAAGCAUAAUCAUUUGGAUAAAGGGCAGCAGGGGGCAGAAGAAGAUGCCAAUCCUGUGAGGGAGAGAGGUAGAGACGGGAUUUCACCAUGUUAGCCAGGAUGGUCUCGAUCUCCUGACCUCGUGAUCCACCCGCCUCGGCCUCCCAAAGUGCUGGGAUUACAGGCGUGAGCCACCACACCCAGCUAAUGUGUGUCACUUCUAAGCUGGAGCACUUAAUGCCCCUGUGAGACUCUCCAGAACUCCUCAUCUUCCCUUUGGAAUGGCGAUCAACGAUAUUCAAGAUGGCUGCUUCUCUCUGAGCCUGGAUCCCUCAGUAACUAACAUAAGAAGGUCCCUCCUGCUAAUCCACACUGUGUAUAUAACACGAGCAAGAAAUAAACCUUUGUGUUCGAAGCCACUGAGAUCUGGGGGGUUGUUACUGCAGUAUAACCUAACUUAUUCUGACUGAUACAUUCUCUUUUGUUGCAUCUCCAAAUGAUCUGAUUUCACUUCCCAUUAUAAUGAUAGUAAAUGUACAUAAUGUUUAUUGGGUGCUGACCCAGCGUACACUGCCAACCUCUUUAUUGAAUCAUCCCCCUCAGUCUUUACAAUUCCAUCAUCUAGUAGAUGGUAUUUUAUGCCCAUCAUACUCAAUAUGCAAGGUUAUGGGGUGCAGUGAGACCUAACAUUUCCCCUUCUAUACAAACUUUUAAAAGUGGCACCAUGGAUCGGUGGCUGGGAUGUGGGGAAUAAUGAGGGCAUAGGAAUAUAGUCAGAGUUUUCUUUCUUUCUUUCUCUCUCUCUCUUUCUCUCUUUCUUUCUUCCGACAGGGUCUCACUCUGUUACCCAAACUGGAGUGCAGUGGUGUGGUCAUGGCUCACUGCAGCCUUGACCUCCCGGGCUCAAGCACUUCUCCCACCUCAGCCACCUGAGUAGCUGGGACUACAGGUGCAAUCCACCAUGCCUGACUAAUUUUUAAAUAUUUAUAGAAAUGGAGUCUCACCAUGUUGCCAAGGCUGGUCUUGAACUCCUGGGCUCAAGCAAUCCUCCCACCUUGGCCACCCAAAGUGCUAGGAUUACAGGCACGAGCCACUGCACCUGGCUGGAAUUUUCAUAAUAUGAAUUGGAUAUAAUCAACUGACUGACCAAUUUGCUUAUUCAUUCACCAAUCAUUCUUGGACACCUAUGAUAUCCCAGACACUGUGAACAAGGCAAAGAUUUCCCCAUAAACUGUGGGAGAGGAAGAUAAUAAAUAAAUACAAAUAUGUCAGGAAGUGGUAAGAAAAUUAUACUGCAGAGAUCAUGCCACCGCACUCCAGCCUGGGCGACAGAAUGAGACUCCAUCUCAAAAAAAAAAAAAAAAAAAAGAAAGAAAAUUAUACUGCAGAGGAGAAAAGGUGGUAGGGAGCUGUUAUUUUUAAUGGGGUGUGCAAGGAAGAGUGCAACACGAGGGUGAUGUUUGAAGAACGCAAAAUGCAGUCAAGAAGCAAGCCAUGUGGUCAUGUGUGGGAAGAACAUUCCAGGCCCAUGCAAAGGUCCAGAGGUGGGAAUAUGGUUUGGCAUAUUUGUGAACGCUUAGGAGGUCUGUGACGGGGACAGGCAGUGAGCAGGAAGGAUGGGGAGAAAAUGAGGCUGGAGCGCUGGCCGGGAGCCGGAUCUCACAGACCGUGGUAAGGCAAGGGCUCUGGAACUGAUCAGCAAAGAAACUCAGUCUGCAUUGUACAGACCUACACUUUUUUUUUUUUUCUGAGAUGGAGUCUCUCUCUGUCACCCAGGCUGGAGUGCAGUGGCAGGAUCUCGGUUCGCUGCAACCUCCGCCUCCCAGGUUCAAGAAAUUCUCCCGCCUCAGCCUCUCAAGUAGCUGGGAUUACAGACAUGCGUCACCAAGCCCAGCUAAUUUUUGUAUUUUUAGUAAAGACGGGGUUUCACCAUGUUGGCCAGGCUGGUUUCAAACUCCUGACCUCAGGUGAUCCACCUGCCUUGGCCUCCCAAAGUGCUGGGAUUACAGGCAUGAGCCACCAUGCCCGGCCUACAGACCUGUACUUAUAAACCCCACCAUAACCAGGAACGAGUAAGGGAAGAAACUAGAGGGACAAAAUUUGGGCAGUUCCAGGCUUUGUGUAUCAAAACUCUGGGAUCACUUCUAGCACGUAUGAUGCCUUUGUGGGAAUCACAAAAAGGCACCCCAUGGGUGCCAGUGAGUUGCCCAAAGCACUCCUCCCACCUUUGUUUGGGUGGUGGAAUUACAAAAAUGGGCCCUUCCUCCCGCCUGAGGCAGUGGGUACCAGGACUCACAGCUUGACUAAGGGGAACGCUGGAUGAUUUCAGUCCCGUCCUCAGCCCAGGAGCCUUUGUGCGUGCACUGCCUGCCCAUCUGUACAUCCCAUACUUGAGAACUACAUCAAUCCCCUGCUGGUAGCAAUUAGGAAAGCAAUCAAGCCAUGACUUUGAGCAAAAGCCCACACCACACAAACACACUUCACUCUUUUGUUGUUGUUUAAGACAGGGUCUUGCUCUGUCACGCAGGCUGGAGUGCAGUGGUGCAAUCAUAGGUAAGCUCAAACUCCUGGGAUCAAGUGAUCCUCUCACCUCAGCCUCCUGAGUAGCUGGCACUAACAGGUGCAUGCCACUGCAUCCAGCUUUUUGUAGAGCCAGCAUCCGGCUAUGUUGCCCAGGCUGUUCUCGAACUCCUGGUCUCAAGUGAUCCUCCCCACUCAACCUCCCAAAGUGCUGGGAUUACUGACAUGAGCCACCACGCCCAGCCACACCUUACUUUUGAAAUUCUUCCUCUCUGGAGAAAAAACUUUGAUACUAAAGCAUAAUCCUUUCUAGCUGCCAUCCCACUUCUCUCUGUGGAAAUAGAGGCUGGUGUUGGGCGCGACACAUCACCUACCGGAUCAGGAGAACGUAGACUUCGUGCCGUGGCAUCUCGUACCUCUCCACAAGCCUGAACAUGGAGUAGAUGCAUGGCACGGCCAGAUUAAUGCAGGACACAACGAAAGGCAGUAACAGCACCGCCCCAGGGUUACUGUGUGUCUUCAGGAACUGCAGGGGAUGGGGGAGAGAACGGAGGGCUGACUUGUACACUGUACCCCUUUCUGCUUCACUCAAAAGUCUCCCAUGAUAGAAAACCCGAGAAGUAGCUCCUCUGCGGUUAACUAUUUAUCUAUUUAUUUAUUUUAAUUUUUUUGAGAUGGAGUCUCACCGUGUUGCCCAGGCUGGACUGCAGUGGCGCGAUCUCAGCUCACUGAAACUUCCACUUCCUCGGUUCAAGUGGUUCUCCUGCCUCAGCCUCCAGAGUAGCUGGGAUUACAGGCACGCACCAACAUACCCAGCUAAUUUUUGUAUUUUUAGUAGAGAUGGGGUUUCCCCAUGUUGGCCAGGCUGGUCUCUAACUCCCGACCUCAGGUGAUCCAUCCACCUCGGCCUCCCAAGGUGUUGGGAUUACAGGCAUGAGCCAUCGCGCCCGGCUAGGUUAACUAUUUUGUUAAGCUACCAUUAAUUUCCUUACCCCGUGCCAAGCAAACUGAGGCUCAGGGAGGGGAAGACACUUGCCCAGGGUCACCCAGCAAGGAAGUGGCAGAUUGGAGCCUAGGUGUGUCUGACUCAGGAGCCUGAGCUCGAACAAUCAUUCUGUGGCUUUCCCUUUUUUACCAAGAUGCCCAGGGCAAUGAGGAUGUGCUCCCUCCUGUUUAGCAUAAGUGGCCUUGUUCAUUUUCACCAGGCUUCACCUCUCUCUGAGUUCUGAAUUAGGGGGUUGGCGUGUCUCUGCUAGCCCGUGCUGCUGGUUUUUUUUUUUUUUUUUUUUUUUUUUUUUUUUUUUUGAGCCGGAGUCUCGCUCUGUUGCCCAGGCUGGAGUGCAGUGGCACGAUCUCGGCUCACUGCAACCUCUGCCUCCGAGGUUCAAGUGAUUCUCCUGCCUUAGCCUCCCGAGUAGCUGGGAUUACAGGGGUGCACCAUCAUACCCAGCUAAUUUUUGUAUUUUUAGUAGAGACGGGGUUUCACCAUGUUGGCCAGGCUAGUCUCAAACUCCUGAUCUCAAGUGAUCUGCCUGCCUCGGCCUCCCAAAGUGCUGGGAUUACAGGCGUGAGCCACUGUGCCUGGCCCUGUGCUGCACUUUUGUGUGAGGCUGGGAGAGGCACUGGGCCUCCAGGAGGAGGCAGCACUCUGGCAUUUGGCUGGGAGUGGAGCCGGGACUGCACUUCUGCUAGGCAUCCUUCCAUGGGCCUUGGAGUCAGGGAUUCCAAUGAAUUUAUCUGAUAUCUCACAUUCCCAUAUCCUCCCUGCAUGGCCUCACCCUACCUCCGUCUACCUCUGGAUGGUUCAAAAGCACCACUUGCAUUUUUGGUGGUAGUUUUGGAGCCAGGGUAACCUGGGUUCCAAUGCGGCUCCCUCCCCACACGUAAGCUGCAAGGCCUGGGGCCAGAUCCUUAGCUUCUCUGAGCCCCUUUUCUCCAUCUGUACAAUGGAGAGAUGAUCACAUGACUCAUAGAGAUGUUGCAAGAAUUAACUGAGAUCAAACAAGGCAAGGCCUGGCCCCAGGGCUGUGAAACGACACAGCUGAGCUCCAUUCAUGUGAAACUGUAGUCACCAAUGAAUGACCACCACUGUAGCCAGAACUACAGGUGCACACCACCGUGACAGGCUAAUUUUUAAAAUUUUUUUAGCGAUGAAGUCUCCAUGUUGCCCAGGCUGGUCUCGAACUCCUGGGUUUCAGGUGAUCCUCCUGCCUCGGCCUCCCAGAGUGUUGGGAUUACAGGUGUAAGCCACUGUGCCUCACCCCUGCAUUUUUAACAAGUUCUCUGCUAGUGCUGAUGCUGCUGGCCAUAGAUCCUGGGUUGAACCGUAGGCUGCACACCACCCUUCCCCUCCAGCAUCUCAUCCCUUCACCUGGUUCUCUCUGCCCUGGACCCUGGUGUUGGUUACCUCUAAGUUGUACUCAGCCAGGUAAUAAACGGCUGCACAGCAGGCUAUGGCCACUCCUGUAGAGACAACCCAGGCUACCAUGUAGGCAGAGAAGCGGGUCAGCAGCUGAUUGAACGUCAACUUGGAAUUCUCCUGACGGAGCUCUGACAGGUUCUCCUAGAAACAUAAGAAAGUCAAGUUUAUGGCUGGGCAUGGUGGCUCACGCCUGUAAUCCCAGCACUUUGGGAGGCCAAGGCGGGUGGAUCACUUGAGGUCAGGAGUUUGAGACCAGCCUGGACAACAUGGUGAAACCCCGCCUCUACCAAAAAUACAAAAAUUAGCCGGGCGUGGUGGUGCAUGCCUGUAAUCCCAGCUACUCGGGAGGCUGAGGCAGGAGAAUCACUUGAACCCAGGAGGUGGAGGUUGUAGUGAGGAGAGAUGGCACCACUGCACUCCAGCCUGGGCGACAGAGUGAGACUCUGUCUCAAACAACAAAUAAAUAAAUAAACAAAUAAAUAAAAAUAAAUGAAAGUCAAGUUUAUCCAGAGAUCCCUCUCCACUGCUAGCAAAGAUCCCCAGGGAAUGCUUGCCACAUCCAGAGACAUGAAUCCAGCCCAAAUCCACAGGUGAGAGAGAGGGGGAACAUUCAUGAUGAACAUGGAUUAUGGGAGACCCAUAGAGGACUCUGAAAUGGGCCAAGAAUCUCCAAACACUGCUUCCAUCUUUCAGAAACAGUUGGAAUUAAUAGAUCGGGACCAUGUUCUUAAGAAAAGCACACUGAGGUCACAAAAUUCUUUCUUGAAGAAUAAGGUUGGGUAUCUACACUGAGAAAGAAGCUCACAUCUGCAACCCUCUUGUUGAAGCCCCUUUAUUUGGCUGGGUUUGGUGGCUCACACCUGAAUUUCCAGCAUGUUGGGAGGCCGAGGUGGGAGGAUCACUUGAGCCCAGGAGUUCAAGACCAGCCUGGGCAACAUAGUGAGAUUCUCUCUCUACAAAAAAUUUAAAAAUUAGUUGGGCAUGGUGGUGUGCACCCAUAGUCCCCACUACUCAGCAGGCUGAGGUGGGAGAGGCUAACUGGAUCCCAGGAGGUCGACACUGCAGUGAAUUAUGAUUGCACCACUGCACUCCAGCUUGGGUGACAGAGCAAGACCUUGUCUCGAAAAUCAUAAAAAAAAAAAAUUUAAAGCCCCUUUAUUUAUAAAAUCAGCUUGCUCUUUGUUUUUUUCUGGAGAUGGAGUUUCACUCUUGUUGCCCAGGCUGGAGUGCAGUGGCGCGAUCUUGGCUCACUGCAACCUCUGCCUCCUGGGUUCAAGCGAUUCUCCAGCCUCAGCCUCCUGAGUAGCUGGGAUUACAGGUGCCCGCCACCACGCCCGGCUACUUUUUUGUCCUUUUUUUAGUAGAGAUGGGGUUUCAUCAUGUUGGCCAAGCUGGUCGUGAACUCCUGACCUCAUGAUAUGCCUGCCUCGUCCUCCCAAAUUGCUGGGAUUAGAGGCAUGAGCCACCAUGCCCAGCUGCUUUUUUUUUUUUUUUUUUUUUUUUUUUUAAUAAGUUUGUGUCUAUAGACCAGGGUUUCUCAACCUCUGCACUAUUGACAUGGUGGGCUGCAUAAUUCUCUGCUGCAGGUGCUGUUCUACGCAUUGUAGGAUUUUUAGCAGCAUCACUGGCCUCUUACCCACUAGAUACCAAGAGCACCCCUCUUCCCAAUUGUAACAAUCAAAAAAGUCUCUAGAGGUUGUCAAAUGUCCCCCUGAGGGGCCAGAUUUCUCUGGGUUGAAAAUCAUUGCCUUGGCUGGCUCACGCCUGUAAUCCCAGUACUUUGGGAGGCCAAGGCGGGUGGAUCACUUGAGGCUAGGAGUUUGAGACCAGCCUGGCCAAUAUAGUGAAACCUCAUCUCUAAAAAAUUCAAAAAUUAGCCAAGUGAGGUGGCAGGUGCCUGUAAUCCCAGCUACUUGGGAGGCUGAUGUAGCAGAAUCGCCUGAACCCGGGAGGCAGAGGUUGCAGUGAGCCAAGAUCAUGCCACUGCACUCCAGCCUGGGCGGCGGAGUGAGAUUCCGUUAAAAAAAAAAAAAACAGCUGGGCGCGGUGGCUUACGCCUGUAAUCCCAGCACUUUGGGAGG
rnacentral:lncRNA from 10 species